CCACAAAUGCUGUUGAUGGAGCUCAGCUUGUUCUGAAUACUGCUUUAAUAAAAUAAGAACAUGUGAAGAACAAGACAAAUGAUCUCUACUCACCAUAGACAGAAACACUGAAUGUUUGUGAUGAUUUUUUCGCUCCACUUAUCUCUAGUUGAUAAUCUCCAGUAUGUUCAGUUGAGAUGUCUGUGAUGGUCAGAGAUCCAGUUUGAUCGUCCAGCUUCAGUCUGUCUCUGAAUCUCUCAUCAGUGUCAUCAUAUGUGAAAAUUUGCUUCUUUUUCUUGAUUUUAGCUAUUUGAGACUUGUUAGCUCCAAAUCUCCACAGUAUGUCGUCUUGUUCAUGUAUUUCAGUAACAUUAGAGUUUAGAGUAACAGAAUCUCCCUCCGUCACUGACACUGAAUCACCAAACACACCUGAUCAACACGAACAGAUGAAGCAAAACCAGAAGAUCACGACUGCUGUGACGAUCAACAGAGAUCCAGCAGAGAUCGACACGAUCAGAGAUGAUUGUGAAGGAGUCUGUCCAUCCAGCGCUGUAAUGAUAAUAGAGAGAAAUACAUGUGUCCGUCUGAUCUUCAAAAGAAGACAGAGAUCAGCUCAGCAGAAUAAUCACAUAUAUCAUCUCUGCUGUACCUUUACAUGUGAGACAGAGCUGAGUGAUGUUCAGAUGUUGAGUCUGGUUGCUGAUGGGAUUGUUGAGCACACAGCUGUAGCUGUUUUUAUCCUGAUAUUCCACCUCCAGAGGUAGAGAGAGACUGAUGCUGAGAUCAGACACACUGAUGCUGGACAAUAAACUGUUUCCUUUGUACCAGGAGAGAGUCACAUGACCCACAUUCACCACUGAACACACCAAUGAACAAUUCUGCUGCGAGGAUGAUGAAGAGUCUCUGCUGAUGACAGGAACAGACAGACGAGCUGCAGAACAUGAGAGAAUGAAGAGAAAUCCAGAUUUUGGGCUCAGUGUGUUGACUAAAUGUUCAGUGUGUUAACAGUCAGUCAGUGUUUUCAUCUCAAAAUACUGAACGAUUAUGUAAAUAGUUAUAUAAAUAUUCUAGUUUCAGUAUGCUCAAUUGACAGGAUUUGAGGCAUGAUGUUGAUUACCACAAAAAAAUUAUAUAUAUAUAUUUGUUUGUCCCAACUGUUGUUACAGUGAAAUACUUACAAUGGA
rnacentral:lncRNA from 1 species